rnacentral:rRNA from 1 species
GCCCGCCAGUGAAUUACAAGCAAAAGCUUAAAACCCAAAGGACUUGACGGUGCCCCACAUCCAUCUAGAGGAGCCUGUCCUAUAAUCGAUACUCCACGCUAAACCUCACCCCCUCUUGCCACUCCAGCCUAUAUACCGCCGUCGCAAGUCCACCUGAUGACAGACCUCACCCCAACUAGCAAAAUUGUUACCCACAAAAACGUCAGGUCAAGGUGUAGCUUAUGGGGGGGGAAGAGAUGAGCUACAUUUUCUACUAUAGAAAACAACCAAGAAGAAUACAUGAAAAACACCACAAAGGUGGAUUUAGCAGUAAGUAUGGACAAGGCGUGCCAUACUGAA